UGAUUGAAAUGGAACCGUGAAUUUCAGAAAUUAUGACUGGAGGGAGCUGAGGGACGCACAGGAAUGGAGGAGCUCCAAGACCUCCCAGUCUCUGUGCAACCAGUAGGUGAGACAAAGACGAUCAUUUGAUGCUGGAUGCACUACGAAGAAGCAGCGAUACCUGGUGACAAGGAAGGUACUCUGCUGGUCCCACCCACAAUUAAGCAUCAGGAACAUGAACAGGAUGAAGGUGCGAUGAAAUGAUCCCAUCCUGGCAGUGCUCCAGCUCCUUUAUGGGACACCAGGGACUUCAGCCAAGAGACAUGCAAGAGCAACUUGGUGUUUUCCUUGUCCUGUUGAUGAGCUUAGAAGAUUUUAAUUCUGCCCUCAGACCCCCAGCAUGGUAGCCAGGGUGCAUGGGCAGGGGCCCAGGGCAUUGCCUUUUGAAGCAAUCCUCUUAUUUUAACAACCAUCACCGGUGAUCUCCAGCAAGUGAGAAGCACAUGAUUAGAAGUAAUCCAGAGACAUUCCAAAACACAUACUUUCUGGAGGGUGGGUUGCUAGCGUUUUUAGCAACAUCCAUCAUCGCAGUGGCCAAAAUCACACGUUCAAAUUGAGGCCUACAAAAUAUGGAAAAGUUUAAAUAAUCCUUGGAAGCAGUCCAGGAAUCGGUCCUUCGGUCUGUGGGACCUUUUAUGAAUAAUGCUGUAACACAAGCCCUGUAAUGGCAGCCCCAAAUCCAGCCCUUUGGUUUUCCUGUCCGAUUUUCCUGUUCCAAGAGGAAUGACUUUGAUUUUGCCUGGGGGUAACAGCAGAACUGGUUUGUCCCCAGGCUGGACCAGCUUGGAUUUGAAGACCUCAGUUUGCAGGAACAGGCAGCAAUGUGAAUUUUCUCCAUUUGAGGUUUCUCAAGGCCUGGAUCUCCCUUUUACAUGUUAUUAUUUACACCUCUAUUACAUAACCACAUAAGCCUUCUGUCUGCUGCAGGAGAUGUUCCCCUCCCUCUGCUGGAGGCCAGAUUGCCCUGCAGUAGCCAAAACCUUGGAGGUGCAGUGGAACUGCAUGUUUUUCUUCAGCCCUCUUGCAUCCAUGCUGACAUCUGAUGUUUUAAUUUCUUGAGGCCAUGGGACAGAGGAAGAGGAUCCUCUCCACUGUAAGGGCCACCACGGUGACCUGCCUUUAGUGUGGCUGUGACCCCACUUUCCAGAUGGAUAGCAGGAGAGAGGGACUCACUGUAGAAAGAGAUCAGCUUGGAUCUUCAAAGGGAAAAAAAA